UACGUAGGGUGCGAGCGUUGUCCGGAAUGACUGGGUGUAAAGGGUGUGUAGGUGGCUUAUUAAGUUAAAAGUGAAAGCCCAGGGCUUAACUCCGGAACUGCUUUUAAUACUGGUUGGCUUGAGUGUGGGAGAGGUAAGUGGAACUCCUAGUGUAGCGGUGGAAUGCGUAGAUAUUAGGAAGAACAUCAGAGGCGAAGGCGACUUACUGGAACAUUACUGACACUGAAACACGAAAGCGUGGGGAGCAAAC
rnacentral:rRNA from 1 species